AUACGGAGGGUGCAAGCGUUAUUCGGAAUCACUGGGCGUAAAGGACGCGUAGGCGGGUUGGCAAGUCAGAUGUGAAAUCCUACAGCUUAACUGUAGAACUGCAUUUGAAACUGCUAACCUAGAGUAUGGGAGGGGGAGAUGGAAUUAGUGGUGUAGGGGUAAAAUCCGUAAAUAUCACUAGGAAUACCGAAAGCGAAGGCGAUCUCCUGGAACAUAACUGACGCUAAGGCGUGAAAGCGUGGGGAGCAAACAGGAUUAGAAACCCUAGUAGUCC
rnacentral:rRNA from 1 species